AAUCAAUUAACAAUAAUGAACUCAUGAAAAAAAAAAGUCAAUAAAAGUUAUAGAAUGUUGAGGGUAUUUUUGUAAACAAAUAAUAUUUUUAAAAAAAUAUAGCAAUACAUAUUAUUUUUAGUAUAUCAAAUCAAACACUGCAUAAAAAACAAGCCCAACAUUUAAUUCCAACAUAAUUAAUUCAUGUAUUACUAAUUUUAGUAUUACUAAUACACUCUUUUCAAUAUUAUUUUUAUACAAUUUACCAAUCGACUACUUAGUUUUUCAAAGGGUGUCAAAUGGGUGAAUUGUGACAAAUUGGAUUCGUUAAAAACAAGUUGGAUCACUAUUCAUGUUUGAGUUGAGUUUGGCAUUACUUUAUUUUUACUAUAUAGAAAGGAUCAAAGGCAAAAUAUGUAAACAUGCACAUUGUUGAGGGUAAAAUAGUAAUUAUAUAUGGCAGAUAUUUAGCUAUUCUCUUUUCUCAAAACAUUCCAGAAAUCAUUUCUACCUGAACAAUCUUGUAAUACUGCUUUCACCAUCAUUGUCGGCGACAACACAACAACAAUCAAAAAUAAUAGUUUAAUGAAGAGAUCCAUCUCGGGUUCGAGUCUACGAAGUCGCCAUUGUUAGCAAGGGCUUUCCCCCAAUGUUGAACUUCUCUGUGCUAAUCCGAUUUAGUUGGACUCCAAUGAGGAUAGUUCAUAUCCAAAAUACUUUCUUGAGAUAAAGCAGAAUUGAAGUAUUGGUCAUGAGUGGAGCCAUGAUCACUGAUGUAGAUAACAAUGAAAACAACUUCAUGUGUGAUUAAUUUCUAAAUGGGGAUUGUUGGAGAAGGAGCAGUUAGAAGUCAUUUACUCAGAUUGCAAUUACUACAUGAGCAGGUAAGUCAUUACCUCUGUUGUGGAUAUGAUUUUGCAGGUCUAUUAUAAGAAAAAAGACUACUAUCUACCUUGAAUGGACAAAGAGAAAGGAGUUAAUCAAGAAUUGAACAUCCAAAUCCCCAACAAGAACCAAGACAAGUGCAUUUACUAUUUUGAUUUUCAUGGUUUGUGUUCUUACCAAUAUAACAGCCGAGGAAGUAUAUCUUUUUCCCCUUUUUAUUCAUAUCCUUCUUUCUUUAAUAAUUUUUCCUUUUCUACUACUAGAUCCCUCUUUUCUCUAUAUGUAAAAUUCUGAUAAUUUGAUUUGUGGGUAUUUGGAUACUAAUAACUAAGAUGAAUUCAAGCCUUUAUAAUAGGUCGUAAAAGGUCAUAUUUGUUUGGUUAUCGGUUAAAGAAACCAUGUCAUUUUGGUUGGAUUUUGCUUUUAGUGAUGUGAAUCAUUGACAUGUAGAAAAGCCAGUUUCAACAUGGAUUCUUAAUGCUAAUUCAGAAAAGAGUAAGGGUAAUUUAGUCAUUGAACAUUAAUUAUCAAUGUCUCUUAUUUACGUGUCUUUGAACAGUUCAUCCAUAUUCUUACAUGGCUCUUGCAUAUCACUUUUGUCAUUCUGUAAGAGAACGUAAGAUUCUUUCCAUGUUUUUACAUGUAUUUCAAAGGAUUUUUGGUAUUACUGGAGAAGAUUUCAUAUCUGUUAAGGUGGAUCAAGCAUGAUGUCACAUGCUGCUAUGUGUGUGCGCGCGCGCGUGUUGCCUUAGAACUGUCGAUGAAUUUAACCUCAAAGUUGUUUCCUUGGACUUUGAAAUUCUCUUCUUAUUUUUGUGCUUUAUAAAUACUUUUGAGGUAAUCCUUUAUGAUAUGGAUAGCCUAUAUCUGACGUGAAACCCAUCUCUUUUCGUUGUUUCAACAUUCUAACUGCAUUUUUAAACUACAAUAUUCAACGACUUCUAUUAGAAAUCAUUUUCUUUGUUGGGAUAUUAUGCACUUUUUUUAUACUUGUUGUCUUGCAGGUGGAUAUUAGAUUAGCAUUUGUGACUCAUGUUACAAAAACUAUAGGGAUUACCUGGAGGAUUAUACAAGUGACUACACUGUUCAAGGUCUCGCGGGGUACUGAGCGGUCUACAUUUUUAUGCAGACAUUUAUGAUCCCAGGAACUAUUUUCAUGUCGUUGCUUGCUGGUUCUCUCUUUGGAAUCUUUAAAGGCAUAGUGUUAGUUGUUUUCACUGCUACUGCUGGUGCAUCAUCUUGCUAUUUUCUAUCCAAAUGAUAGGGAAGCCCACUCUGGCAUGAUAAGUUGACAUUUUUCCAAGUGCAGGUGAUUUUCGACUCACUACUCAAUAGUCAUAUCUUUCUUUCUUUUCAUAAAUGAAACUAUUGUAGUAAAAUCUCUGUGAUCCAUUGGGUGGCUAAAAGGAGGGAGGGGCUGCUGAAUUACAUGCUUUUCUUGGGAGUCACACCAAUACUGCCAAACACAUUUAUCAACAUGGCUUCGCCGAUUGUAGAUGUUCCAUACCAUAUAUUCCUCUUGGGAACUAUCGUCGGGUCAUUCCUUCCACUUACGUCACUAUUCGAGUAUUUAUCUCUUGAUUCAUCUCUGUAUGUUAAUUGCCAAUGAAUGACAAACUGGUAGGCUAUCUAGAAAACUCAAAAUCUUAGAACUAAAAGCGAUGCUCAUUAUAGCUUUGCAAUAAUCGGUUGUUAAAACAAAUCAUAUUUAAAUCUAAGGCUUAAUAAACAUACUUGAAAGUGUUUAAGAGUUUUUUGUUUUUUAUGGAGUAGGUAAAAUAUGUGUCAACUUGCUUUAAAUUCAUGACUGCCCUUUUGUUUUACAUGAACGUCCUCCUAUCCCCGAUGAGGAGCUAAAGGAAGAUGAUUUUGAUGAGAUCGAGGAAGAUGAUUGCGUGCUAUGUGGCCAAAACAUUGUAUUUUGUUUUUUUUCUUAUAUAAAUAAUAUGAACAUAACUAUUUUGCAACUUGAGUGUAAUUUGUUUUAUAUAUUUAUAUUUUUUAAACAAAAAUUCUAAUGAGAAUUAAUUGAGCUUAUCACAUAAUUGUAUUUCAAUUAAGGGUAUUCUUUAUAAACUGUUUGGCAUGUUUUGUUUAAACUGAGAGUCUAUCAGAAACAAUUUAUCUAUCUCCACGAGGUAAGGAUAAGGUCUGCGUACACUCUACCCUCCCUAGACCUCACUUGUGGGAUUACAUUGGUCACUGGGUAUGUUGUUAUUGAAAUGUUUAGUUGUACAUGCUAAAAAAUCCAUCCACAUUGCAUCUAAAUAUGCAUUUAAGGAAUUUUGAGAUGGCAGCAUCUAAGUUGUAAUUAUUUAGCUGUGGAUAUUCUGUAGGGAUCAGCUGGAGGAUUAUACAACUGACUAUGCUGUUCAAGUGCUUGUAGGGUACUGUGAGGUCUACAUUUUUAUGCAGACAUUUAUGAUCCCAGGAACUAUUUUCAUGUCGUUGCUUGCUGGUUCUCUCUUUUAAAUCCUCAAAAGGCGUAGUGUUAGUUGUUUUCACUGCUGCUACUACUGGUGCAUCAUCUUGUUAUUUUUUAUCCAAAAUGAUAGGGAAGCCCCUUGUGGUUUCACUCUGGCUUGAUAAGUUGAUAUUUUUUCAAGCGCAGGUGGCUAAAAGGAGGGAGGGACUGCUAAAGUACAUACUUUUCUUGAGAGUAACACCAACACUGUCAAACACAUUUAUCAACAUGGCUUCGCAGAUUGUAGAUGUUUCAUACCAUAUAUUCCUCUUGGGAACUAUCGUCGGGAUUAUUCCUGCCACUUACGUCACUGUCCGGGCAUUUAUAUCUUGAUUCAUCUCUUAUGUUAAUUGCCAGUGAAUGACAAACUGGUAGGCUAUCUAGAAAACUCAAAAUCUUGGAAGCAAAAGCGAGGUCUGCGUACACUCUACCCUCCCUAGGAAAAUUUUAAUAUGAAUAUCGGACAGGAAAAAAAAGAAAAGAAAGAGAGUUAACAGACCUUAUCCUAAAUAAAAUAAGAGUAGGAGAAAUAUUGAAGUCAUUGAUAGGAGGUCACCUUAUAUAUAGAAAAAACUAUUUUCUGCCACUCAACACACACCCCUAUCUACUAUGGUUUAGUGUAAUUUUAGUUUCUUAUGUACUGAUUUUUAGUUUCUUCUAUACUGACUGUUGACAACUCAAUAUGUGGAUUAGUGGGAUUUUUAUCCACUUCACUGUUAUACAAAAAGCUCAAUUAAUGUUUUUGUUUCAACGACCAAGUACCACACUAUACAAACUUUGGGUACAACUCCAACUUACACAAUAUUUCUCCUUGCUUAAGAAUCUUUCUUGUCCUCAAUGAAGAAAUCUAAAAAUGUCAUCAUCAAGACAUGCCUAUCCUCCGUAGUGAAUUGGUUAGUAGGUAGCCCCGCUCAAUUAAAACUUGAGGUACAAUUUUAUUUCCAUUUUCAAAUCAACCUUCUCUCUCUAAUAGCCUUAGUAUUGGGACAAUAGGGGUAGGCUAGAAAAAGGACAUAACGUGACUUACGACCUCAAGGUGACUUGGGAAGGUAAAGGUAAUUUGUAAGAUAACUUACCUAUCUUCUUUUCAAAAUUUGGUAGCAUCAUAAUACGUGGCUGCCAAUUUGGAGAAAUAAGCAGUAGAUAGAAUUUAUUGUCAAUUGUGCUAUUUUUUAAGAUUAGACCCGAUCACCCUAUUGAAAUGUAGUUAUGUGGAUGUUGUCAUACGCAUGUCCUUUAUUGUUCUGAUCUCAUUGAAUGGAACUUUAUAAAAUAGAGCAUCACCUGGCUUGUUUGUGAUCUCUUAUAGAGUUGCUCAGCUACUACAUCACCUAAAAUAUAGAGCAAGUGUAUGGGAGGGAAUUGAUCAUGGAAGGCCUCAAAGGAUGUGGUCUAUAGAAAUGAAAGUGGUUCUAUACCAUCCAUCCAGAUAGGGGCAAAUAAAGAAACCAGUCAGUAGGUGAGUUUGAGCAGGAAUAUCUAAGUAAUGUCUCUAAAUAUCUAUUGAUGACCUCUUUUUGUCCCUUCUACUAGGGUGGUAUACAGUUGAUGGUGUAAAAUUUGAAAAUGAGAAGAGAUGUACCAGUUAUCUAUUUUGUGUAAUUACGUUGCUGCUUUAAGACUUGAAAUGUUGCAUUUGUUAGCUCCAUGGACUGCUCCGAUACUAUUUUGAAGUUUUCAGUAUUCUGAUAGUUGAUUUAUUGUGUGCUAAGUGUUAUUUAUGUUUGAAAGUGUCUAAUGGAAUUUGUGGUUAUAGUUAGUGGUAGGCUGCACUCUGUAGAAUGAUAUUUCUAUGUUUAGUGAAUUAUUGGUUUGGUUGAUAGAUAAAUGUUUGUUAUAGAAUUGAGUAGUAGUACUUAUUGAUUAAAACCGUGUUGUGGAUAUCUUUCUGUGGAAACAUUCAGGAUUUGAAAAUGAGAAGAGGUGCACGGCAAUUGUUAAUGCUAUACACUACUAUUAAGAGCAUGACUACAUCUGUUAAUAUAAUUCCUAUAUGUUCUCUAAGAAAAUUGUUAAUGUCUCUGUUGAACAUCAUUUCUCUUUGCCUAUCAAUUAGAAGGAGGAGGACAUGGGUUCAAAUUGUGGAAACUGUCUCUUGCAAAAAUGUGGGGUAAGACUGUGUACAAUAAUUCCUUGUGGUUUGGCCCUUCUCCGCAACCUGACGAUAGUGGGAGCUUUAGUGCACAGGGCUGCCUUUUUAUCAAUUAAAAGUAGAAAGACAAAAAACAGAAACUUACCAAACAGUCCCACCAGAGAAAUAAAAUGGAAAAUAAUGACAAUUGUUCAUAUGAGGAGUGGGUAGCAGGGAGAAGUACUGUGAGUAUUCUCAGUGAGUCUAGAGGGUUGAAGUGGUCAUAGCUGUGAAUUUUUCUCAGUGAGUCUAGAGGGUUGAAGUGGUCAUAGCUGUGAAUUUUCUUUUCCUAGGCUGGGUUUACAUUCUCCUGAGUUUGUCACAUUAGUUGCAUGAAUCCUGGUUUUUCAUUAUCACAAAUUCUCGCGGAGGUUGCAUGAUUCUAUACAUUUUUUAUGGUAGUUAGCUGAAUGGUGCAAUUAGAUAGAGUUUAUUAAAACAUUUGUUCUUUUUAAACAUAGGGGUUGACAAUUAGAGAGAUGUCUCUAGAAUGUGGCAGAGAAGAAAAAGGAAAGUACCAGUGAUAUGGGUGCAGUGAAGAGAGUUUCUGUAUCACGUGAAUAGUUGAUUUAAGAGUCAUGGUAGUUCUUAUGCUCUAUAACCAGGAAAGAUAUUAUUGGAGGUUCAGAUUUAUCCUCUUGAUAAAAAAAUAACAAAAAGGAUGGAGGUUGAGAUUUAUCCCUUAGUUUCAGCUUACUCAAGGACAUGUCAUUUGAUAGGAGGUUGUGGAGGAAAAAAAUAUAACAAAAAGGAUGGAGGUUGAUAUUUAUCCCUUAGAUUCAGCUUACUCGAAGACAUGACCUUUGAUAGGAGGCCGUGGAGGAAAUUGAUUAGAGUGGGAGGUUAGUAGGUAGUAGUGUGUUGUCCCACUUAUCUUUCUAUAUGUACUCGUAGUAUCACUGAGGGAGUUUCUGGUUGUUGUUUUAUUGCACUUUGAUUACCGUGUUAUUACUGUUAUUAUUUUUGGAGCCAAGGGUCUGCAUGCAAUCUAUCCUCCCCAGAUUUCACUUAUGGUAUUAUUAACUAUUUGGUAGGAUUAACGACUUUGAACUUUCAUCUGACGUUGAGGACUGCUAUAAGCAAAGAUAACUUUUGUUUUACAAUGCUAGGGGAACCCUUAGUUAGAAGCCAAAGGGUUCAUUAUGUACUAUACUGCCAUAAUGAGUUUCAAUUUAACUAUCACUAAAAUAUAUAACUGUAUUAUUGCAAACAGAAGCACAAUCACAGUCUGUUGACUGGAUAAUUUGAAAAAAUAAUGUGGAACUUGGUGUUGAGCCCUUACAAUUUUGAGUUAGCGAUAAAACUUGUAGAUGUAGUGCAAGAACAAUUGGGAAAUAUCUAAAGCUGCAUAAGGAUGGGAUACUCUUGUAAAAUGGUCAUAUUCAUAAGUCAAUCCACUACCGCCUAAAGAACUAAUUUACCAUUAAAUCUUGGUAAUCCUUCCGCAAAGUUCGUACUAAUGCUAGACCAAUGAAUGUUGGAAAAAAUUCCAAUGAUAACAACAAUUCAAGGUAUGGAGAGGGAUCAUACUUAUUCUAUUGGAAAAUAUCACACUGUCUUACAUAUUGAAUCACAUUAUCCUUAUCCAUUUUUAGUAAAACAAGGAUGCCACCUUUCUAUAGGUAGUCUUAAUUCUAGAAUGACUUUCAAUAGGUUGAUGGUACCAAAUAUAGAUGAUUUCCUCCUUCAGUUGAGGCUUGUUUCAUUUUACCAACGCAUCUUUCUUCCUUAGUUGUUGGUUGAUGAAGUAUAACCUCUACACUACUUCAUUUUACAUAGUCAGCUUGAUGGUUCUGCGCAGGGGUUUAAACACCUUUUGCUGCAUAUAAAGUUUGUAGGUUGGCACAUUUAAGCUCGUGUCAGAAAAUAUUUUUGUCGUAGCGGCUUGCUCUUGCUAUUAGAGGUAUUCAAUGGAGCUAUCCUAUCUUUUGGUCAAAUCCUAUUACACAACUAAGGUAAUAAGGACUGGCAUUCUUUUUUUACUUACGUGUUCUUUGGUUAAUUGUUUUUAUAAUUAUUUUUUGGCUACUGUAUUUGUUUUACUUGUUUUUCGAGUCCGCUUUACUUGAGCGGGGUCUAUUGGAAACUGUCUCUCUAAGAUUGCAUAGACAUUGUCCCUCUCAGACUCAAUUUGGUGAGAUUACGCUGAGUAUGUUGUCUUUUGUUGAAUUUCAUUGUAGAGGAAAUCUUUAAAUUAGAGGACCAAUAAAUUUAGAAUGGGAAAGAGUCUUGAGGUUAUAGUUAAAGUGUCAUAUGUUCUUUUUUGGUCCAAUAAAUUUUUGAAGAGUUAGAUUUCAACACAUCCAUCAAGGAUAACACCUAAAUGUGUUUGUAUUUAGAUUUUUAACUUCUAAACUAAUUUAAUUAUUAAAUUUAAUUUAACAGGUAUUGAUUGUGAAUGCUAAAGAGAUUGCAAACAACAGGAAGGAAAAAUGCAUCUGCCAAUGUAGAAUUUAUAAAUGCAUAUGUAUCAAUGUAAAUAGACAACAAUUACUAUAAUAUGUGAAUGUUAUGUAAGCAUCCAGUAGUUUGAUA